rnacentral:lncRNA from 1 species
AGCACUUAAUGUUUUAUCAAAAGUCACAAACUUAGGGUUUAGAGUUUAGGGUUUAGGGUUUAGAAUUUAGGGUUUAGAGUUUAGAGUUUAGGGUUUAGGGUUUAGGGUUUAGGGUUUAGAGUUGAGAAAUGAGGUUUUGGGGAUAAUAUUUCAAAUUUUAAGAAAUAAAAAAAUUAAAAUUUUCAAAAGAUAAACUUAGAAAUGUGCUAUUUUGGUCAUUUUAGUUUUUGAGUGCUAUUUUUGUGAUAUAAACUUAGAAAUGUGCUAUUUUGGAGAUUUGCCUUAUAUCAUACGCAGCUAACCUUGAAUAUACUCCCAACGAGCGCUACCCAUACUUAAAUGAAGAAGGAAGCGAAGGAGAAGCUCAAGACGUCUCUUAAAUUCACCAAUAUUUGACGUUUCAAUGAACUCCAUCAAAC